AGGCUAUCCAGCUCAGCAAGAAGGCUGGGGCGUUUUCCGCCACGUGGCUUCACCCAAACAAAUGCAAAUUCGCUUCUCCUCUACGUUUGGUGGGCUUCUGCCGAGAUUUCGUUUUUGUUGCGUUGAUUUUUUUUUUUUCUGGUUCUUGAACUUAUGUGGGCUUGAAGGAAAAAAUGAGAAGCCCAUACUAAUUAGGUUUAAUCGCCUUCUUCUCUACCACAUUCUACGCCUCUCUCUCUCUCUUUUUUUUUUGGCUCUCUGCAACUUAACGUCUUCAGCCCCAGGAAUGUGAAGAAAGGCGGUGAGCCUUGACAUGCCACUGAUUGAUGAGAAUUCAACACUUGUGCAAGGAUCCUUGAGUGCAAACCGUCUUCUCAGAUUCAGACAGCGUUUCAGCUAAGGCUCUGUGUACACGUUAAGCUGUUUUGACGUAACGCGCAGUAACAACAAUUUCCGGUUGACUGAUGCCCUCCUCUUCAUACGGUUCAAUGAUGGAACCUCUUUUGAAAAUCUCACAGAUUCCAAUAAAGUCAUACCCACUGAACUUUUUCGGUUCCGACGUGCACUGGCAAACACCAACAAACAAUUUCCUGACAUUAUUGGUGAGCUAAGUGCAAUAAGGAGCACCAUCAACGACAAUCUUCCUGGUGCAAAACGCAUAAUGCUUACUUUGCGUCUUGAUAGUGCUGUUAAAGUCUGGGUUAGUAUGUUUGACUCUUUGGCUAUUGCAUUCCACGAAAAAUUUUAGAGCUAUGGGUCAGAGCCAAAAAUUGUGCUUGUCACGAGCAUAAAUCAUGAGCAUAUGUUUUCUCAGGCCGGCAAUAUUACUGUUUUCUCAGAAGCAGUAAAAAAAGUGUUUGACAG